AUCUUGUUUGGUAAUGGGGCUCUUUUCUUUCCCUGUCAGGGAAGAAAUUAGAAAAGGUUUGCAUUUACGAGGAGGGCAAGCAAUAUACAUUUAUAGGUUUUCCCCAGGACUAUGUUAAGUCUUGGGCGUCUGCCUUAAUAUAGUCUGAAAAUAUCUAGACUGUUGUGACUGUCUGUAGAAUAUCCAUUUAUUUACCACAAUAUUGAUACCAUGCAGAUCAGGCAGGAUGUGCAAGAAGAGUUAGCAUGCUGGAUACCUUGGUCCUCAGUCUAUAGAGUGGAAGAUAAAUUCUACAGACUUUAGGACCUGCUACUUAGGCAAAAUUUUCAGAGGUCCAGUAGUCUUAAGGUCAUGCCAAGACAUCUCCAUGAUAUAAAACAACUUGCCUCAAAAAAAAAAAAAAAAAUGGAGUUCCCGUCAUGGCACAGUGGUUAAUGAAUCCGACUAGGAACCAUGAGGUUGCGGGUUCGAUCCCUGCCCUUGCUCAGUGUGUUAAUGAUCCGGCGUUGCCAUGAGCUGUGGUGUAGGUUGUAGACGUGCUCAGAUCCUGCGUUGCUGUGGCUCUGGUGUAAGCCGGUGGCUACAGCUCCAAUUGGACCCCCAGCCUGGGACUCUCCAUAUGCCUCCGGAGCGGUCCAAGAAAUAGCAAAAAGACAAAAACAAAAACAAAAUAUACAACAAAAAAAAACAACUUGCCUUAACCUUCAUCCACAUCACAAAAAAGUCAGCACAUUGGGGCUAUUCAAGUCCUGGAGGAUCACAUUCUACAUGCAGGAAUACUGCUCCAGCCCAUAUAUUAUAUGACCCCCUGAGGCUGUCAGUUUUGAGUAAAACAUGGAACAGAAAAAAUCUCUACAGCAGUUUCAGAUUGCAUUUGGGUCAUUCACUCCAACAAAUCUAAGUGACCAUGCAUUAAGAAUUGCUUAUCAUGUGUUGGGUUCUGUAGGCAUAUCAAAUUUUAAGUUGAGUGGACCCAGCAGCAACCCAUUCUAACUUUGGUUUUCAUGGUAUUACCAAGUUUGAGGACCAGAUGGCAUGAGUAGCUCUACCACCCAUGUCAUCCACAAUGGUUGCACCAGGCCCUAUUCUUCAGAUCAAACCUGGAAGAAGGUUGAGAUGAAGAGGGAAGUGCACAGAACCAGCUGAAGGAAGAGGAUAGACCUGAGGUUGGUUUAUGGAUGGUUUGGCUUGGUGCAUGGAUUCAGGCCAAAAAUGGAUGGCAGAAAAAAUACAGUCAUAGGCAGGGGUGGCCUUGAAAGAUAAUGUUGAGAAAAAAAAAUUUCUUCCCAUGUAGAGCUUUGAGCUGUGUACCUUGUCACCCACUUUUUGAGAAAGAAGUGGCCCAUUUAUCUGGACCAUGAUGGAUGCCUGGCCAGUUUCAUCAGGUGCCAGGGAGGAAAAAAGACAGGAAGAUCAGAGAUAAAAUCUGGGGUUGAGGUAUGUGGAUGAACAUAUGGAAGUUAGCAUGAAGUAUGAUUUUUGUGUCAUUUAUUAAUUAGUGCUUACUAGAAAGUACAUGCCAUUCAAUGGCAUUACAAUGAUCUAGUGGACAAUUCAAGUCAGACAAUUACAUUAGCCAGGCUUUGUCCUUUUCUACCUCAGAACUACACUCUAAGCAUGUGAAUGAAGAGUCCACAGAGGCAGAGGUAAAGGCUAUUCGUGAAUCUAACAGCAUAGAUUCCCACUCAUUCAAGGCAAAUAUUGCUAUUGCCAACUCAGAGUGUCCAACCUGCCAGCAAUGGAUCUCAAGGCUGAGCCCAUGACAGGACACUAUUCAUCAUCCACCAGGUACUUGGUGACGAGUUGACUACAUUGGGCUCUUUUCAUUCUGGAAGUACCAACAAUUUGCUCUAACAGGGAUUAACACCUAUUGCGGAUGAGUUUACCUUUUCUGUCCACAGAACAUCAGCCAGUACCACUGUCUGGAGGCUUCUAUGAUCUACUGCAUUUGUGCAAUGAAGAAAAUGGAGGAGUGGGCCUAUUAUUGCCUAUUAUCAUGGAGUUCACUGGUGGUAUCUCAUUUUGCACCACUCAGAAACUGUCACUCUGACAGAAUAUUGGAUUGGCCUGUUGAAGGUGCAGCUAAAGGGCCGCCUUGAGCACAAUACCCUGCAAAUAUAGGGUAUCUUGAUGAGCAGUGUAAGGGAAGAUUCUCAGGUUGGUAUUUCCUAGUCAACUUGAUUGUUGAUAUUCUCAAGGGAUGUAACCUCAAAAUCACUACUCUGGAAAAUGAUUUUCCUUGUAAUAAAGUAUAACUCAAAAUGAAAUGAUCUGUUUACAUUCAGUGAUAAGAGAACAACAGGGCCAAGCUCAAUGCCCUUAUGCUCCAUCAGAGCUUUUCUCUCUGCCGUCUGUUUCCUCACACCCUUCUCUCCUGUUUUUUUUUUUUUUUGCUCUAGGCAAACCAUAUUACAAUACAUGCAAUUCAAAUUUACAUAUGAAUAUUAUGAAUUAUGAUAUUUUUGGAAUUCUAGCAUCACUUUGAAGUGCUCAAAACCAUAAAUGUUGUAUUUGCCAAAUUCUAUAGAAAUUAGUAGUGUUUGUAAAUUAUUUUGAUUUAAAUACUGGCCUUUUCAAUUGCAUAACUUUCCUUAGAAUCAUAGGCAUCUUCUAGCCCAGGUCUUCCAUACAUUCCAUUUGGAAGAAGCUUUUCCCAUUUUCGUACUCAGUUCUCUUAUAAUACAUUACCCUUUAAAGGAUAAAACAAAUAUGUGCAACGCAAAUAGCAUCAAGUGGGACAAUGAAUUUCAUACAUAAUAAAUAAAUUUGAUAGUGUAAUAUAUGGAUCUAAGGCAAUCUUGGUCUGUCUUAUUAGGGACCAGAACCAUUUAUUGUGUGAUAAGAAGUCCCAUCUCUAGUAUUCAUUUGGAUGCUAAAAUUCUGGGAAAUGCAUUGUUAGUCCUAAAAUGAUUGCCUUAUUUUGGACCCAGCUGCAUGUGGGUUAUUACUAUUCUCAUAUCCAAAGGAAACAUUUUUCUUUACAUAUGUGGUUAUUUGACUUGAAAUAGGUAGAAUCAGUAUUAGAUGGAUUUUUAAAGAGAUUGAUUAUAUUCUUAUAGGAAAUGUGGAAGAGUGUGAUACUGCAAAGAGGUAUAAAGACUGUGUAAGAAACAUGAUAUAUUGACUAGUUAAGUUCAUUAUUUCAACAAAAGUAGAGGCUUUACCUUAUAUCUUACCUUUUAAAUAGUAUACUUAGUCAUAGGUUCUGAUAAACAAUAGUAAAUUUUAUUUAUUAUUCAAUGAUAAGUAUUUUUUAUUUGAAUUCUUAAAGAUUUUUAACCUUUCAAAAUUAUGCUAUUACUCUGUAAAAGAAAACUCAGU
rnacentral:lncRNA from 1 species